rnacentral:rRNA from 1 species
GUCCACGCCCUAAACGAUGUCAACUGGUUGUUGGACGGCUUGCUGUUCAGUAACGAAGCUAACGCGUGAAGUUGACCGCCUGGGGAGUACGGCCGCAAUGUUGAAACUCAAAGGAAAUUGACGGGGACCCGCACAAGCGGUGGAUGAUGUGGUUUAAUUCGAUGCAACGCGAAAACCUUAACCUACCCUUGACAUGUCAAGAAUCUUGCAGAGAUGUGAGAGUGCUCGAAAGAGAACUUGAACACAGGUGCUGCAUGGCCGUCGU